GAAAUAUUUUAUUAUAGAAUAAGCUUCUAACUUGAUUCUAAAAUGGUGUAAAUCCAUUUAUAUUUCU
rnacentral:tRNA from 1 species